rnacentral:rRNA from 1 species
AUGUCCUGUUUCUUGUACUCAUCUUGCCUUCCUGUAGAAUUUGAUAGAAACAAGAAUUACUCAUGUGACAGCCCAGAAUCAUUUUCAGAUAGAGAGGGUGGCCAAGAUUUCAUUACUGUGGAGAACUGUGGCGAUGAUUUUAUUGCUGCAUUGGCUGAUGCAACACAACUUACUGAUGACUGGGAUGACCUGAAUGCAAUAGAGACUGAAGCUUGUGGCAAUUUGAAUGAAAUGAUGAGGAAGGGUGUAAAUGAUGAAAAAGGAGGAGUUGUUCUGGACACUCCUUUGUUCAAAAGGGCAGAUUCCUCCAGUCAACAUAAUCCGAAAGGUUUAAAAAUAUCGAGCUUUUCCUCUGAUGAUUCAGAUUUUGACAUAUUUGAUGAAACAAACACCCACCGUGAUAAUAACGUGGGUACCCAGAAGAAGCCACAAACAAGAAACUCUAAAGCUCAGACAAGAAGCUCAACAAAAUCUACUGUGACCAAAGGAACCAAGAGAUAUGAAUCAACAACUCCAGCUUCAAAUAGAGAGGGACAGCCAAAUGCAUGUCUUCGGAAGAGAGAAAUUUUGAGUUAUGAGCAGCUUUCUUCUCUAGAUGACAUCAAUUUGGCCAAUGCUGUCAUCUUUGGCAACAAAAGUUUUAGGCCCCUGCAGUAUGAAGCUUGUAGUGCUGCACUGGACAAUAAAGACUGUUUUAUACUUAUGCCAACAGGUGGUGGCAAAAGCUUGUGUUAUCAGCUCCCUGCAACAUUGCACCCAGGUGUUACCGUUGUUGUGUGUCCAUUGCUGUCACUUAUUCAGGAUCAGGUGGUUGCUUUAACCUUCAAGUUUGGGAUACAAGCAGCAUUCUUGAAUUCUCAGCAAACUUCAGCACAGGCAUCUGCAGUUAUCCAAGAGCUUAGAAAUGGCACACCUUCUUUCAAACUUCUGUAUGUCACACCUGAAAGAAUGGCUGGAAACUAUUCCUUCAUGGAGAUCCUCAAAGGCUUACACCAGAGGGGAUUGCUAGCAAGGUUUGUGAUUGAUGAAGCACACUGUGUAAGUCAAUGGGGACAUGACUUCCGUCCAGAUUACCGAGGCCUAGGAUGCCUCAAACAGCACUUCCCUAGAGUCCCAAUCAUGGCUCUAACUGCAACAGCAACUGAAGCUGUCCGUAAGGACGUCCUCAGUACCUUGAGGAUCCCAAACGCUUUGGUACUUAAGAGGAGCUUUGACAGACACAACCUCAAAUACAUGGUGAUUGGCAAGACGAGAACUCCCCAGAUGCAGCUGGGUGAGCUCCUGAAAGAGCGUUUCAUGAACAUGUCUGGCAUUGUGUAUUGCCUCUCGAAGAACGAAUGUGCAGACACUGCCAAGUUCUUGAGGGAGAAGUACAAGAUAAAAUGUGCGCAUUACCAUGCUGGCUUGGCGGCCCGUCAGCGAAGCAGCGUCCAAGAGAAGUGGCACAGAGGAGAGGUCAAAGUUAUUUGUGCUACAAUAGCCUUCGGCAUGGGGAUUGACAAGCCUGAUGUGAGCUUUGUUGUCCACAACACGCUGUCGAAAUCGAUAGAAAGCUACUAUCAGGAGUCUGGGCGGGCUGGAAGAGAUGGCCUUCCAGCGCAUUGUGUGGUGUUAUAUCAGAAGAAAGACUUCAGCCGCAUCGUGUGCAUGCUGAGGAGUGCUGAUAACUUCAAGAGUGAAACCUUCAAGGUUGCAAUGGACCAAGCAAAGAAAAUGCAGGCGUAUUGCGAGCUGAAGACUGAGUGUCGCAGGCAAACUCUUCUGGGUCACUUUGGCGAACAGUUCAACAGUCAAAGGUGUAAAGAUGGCCCUAGCCCCUGUGACAUCUGUCUGAAGGAAGCUUCAUGA